AACGAACGCUGGCGGCAGGCCUAACACAUGCAAGUCGAGCGACGACUUCGGUCCUAGCGGCGGACGGGUGAGUAACGCGUGGGAACGUGCCCUUUGCUUCGGAAUACCCCUGGGACACUGGGAGUAAUACCGGAUGAGCCCUUUUGGGGAAAGAUUUAUCGGCGAAGGAUCGGCCCGCGUUGGAUUAGGUAGUUGGUGGGGUAAUGGCCUACCAAGCCGACGAUCCAUAGCUGGUUUGAGAGGAUGAGCAGCCACACUGGGACUGAGACACGGCCCAGACUCCUACGGGAGGCAGCAGUGGGGAAUCUUAGACAAUGGGGGAAACCCUGAUCUAGCCAUGCCGCGUGAGCGAUGAAGGCCUUAGGGUUGUAAAGCUCUUUCAGCUGGGAAGAUAAUGACGGUACCAGCAGAAGAAGCCCCGGCUAACUCCGUG
rnacentral:rRNA from 1 species